rnacentral:rRNA from 1 species
CCCCACUGCUAUCGAGGUGGGACUUAGCCAGGCCAGUCGAACGACUCGGACUAUGGCGAGAAGUGGCAAACUGCUCAGUAACACGUAGCUAACCUACCCUCAGGACGGAGACAACCCCGGGAAACUGGGGUUAAUCCCCGAUAGGCGUGGAUUCCUGGAAUGGUGUCACGCCGAAACGUUAACACACCAUGUUUGUGUACACGCCUGAGGAUGGGGCUGCGGCCGAUCAGGCAGUUGGUGAGGUAACGGCUCACCAAACCUUUGACCGGCACGGGCCGUGAGAGCGGUAGCCCGGAGAUGGACACUGAGACAAGGGUCCAGGACCUACGGGUCGCAGCCGGUACGAAACCUCCACAAUGCACGAAAGUGCGAUGGGGUUACCUCGAGUGCCGUCUGAAGAAGGCGGCUUUUCCAUUGUGUAAUGAGCCGUGGGAAUAAGGGGGGGGCAAGACUGGUGUCAGCCGCCGCGGUAACACCAGCCCCCCGAGUGGGUGGGGAUGUUUAUUUGGCCUAAAACGUCCGUAGCCAGCUAGGUAAAUCUCUCGUUAAAUCCAGCGUCCUAAGCGUUGGGCUGCGAGAGAGACUGCCAAGCUAGAGGGUGGGAGAGGUCAGCGGUAUUUCUGGGGUAGGGGCGAAAUCCAUUGAUCCCAGGAGGACCACCAGUGGCGAAGGCUGCUGACUAGAACACGCCUGACGGUGAGGGACGAAAGCUGGGGUAGCGAAUCGGAUUAGAUACCCGAGUAGUCCCGGCCGUAAACGAUGCAGGCUAGGUGUUGGGUUGGCCACGUGCCGACUCAGUGCCACAGGGAAGCCAUUAAGCCUGCUGCCUGGGGAGUACGGUCGCAAGGCUGAAAC